GUUAAAAGGAUAUUAGCCACUGAGGAGCCAAGGAAUAACUCUGAAGGAGCUAGAGAGUUCCACAACUCAGAAGACCCUAAUUGAUGGCUUGCUGAGUUCCUGACCAUGUUGCUUUUUGAGUUCAGGACUGUUGGUGGUUCUUCCGCUACCUCAUAAAACCUUCUGGAGAAACUCUUGAAGGUUCUGCAUGGAACACUGCAAGUGAGGGGGCCCAGUGGUGGCAGUUUGGGGGUGCUGGGAUUUUAACUCAUGAUCUUCUGAUUUAACCAUUGAGCUACCACCUCGUCCUCCUCCAACAUUAAAGUAGCAAAAGAAGAAGAGGAUAAAGAAGACACCAGGUGGUAUCAAAAUGUUUCGAGACUAGUUUUAUUUAAAAGAAAGUACUUUAUUUAUCUACAUUUGCACACUGUUACCUUCAAAAUAUUCUCCUUGAACAGCAAUACAGCGCUCCCAGAUUUCCUGCCACUUCUGGAAUAAAGCCUGGAAGUCUUCUGUUCAGGUCUAGCACCUUCUGCGAUUCGUGCUGGAUCUCCGCAAUGGUGUCAAAACAGCAAACUUUGAGCUGGAUCAUCAUCUUGGGGAGAGGGCGAAGUCCUCAGGAGCCAAAUCGUACAAUGAGAAAAGUAAAGAAAAUGUGGCACCACAGAAACCUUGCAAAGAUCAGGACGACCCUCCAAAGUUAAUGAGAUGACGAGGAAAUAACUGAUCAGGGAGGCUACCAAGAGUCCAACACUGAAGGAACUACAGGAAUUUCUGGCAGGAGUCCCAUGAGUCUCUGCCUGUCCUUUCUCUAGUCCAGCUGGGAUACAAGUGUCUUAAUCCCCUCUCUCACAAAACAACUGGUACAAGUGCCAUCAUGACAUGUGCAAUGUCAAACUAUAAGCAAAUGGAAGGACGUUUGAUUGUUAGCAGAGUUUUGAAAAUGAGACUGCACUAAAGUGCAUGGUAUUCCUCAGGAUUCAGUGUUGAAAAAAUAAACCUGAUUUGUCCAAAUGGAACAAUAUAAGAAACCUAAAUAGGACUGGAACAUUAAGCAUUAAUGUUCACCAACAUAUAUAAACAAUAUAAAGUCAUGUCAUGAGUAGACAAGGUUUUCUGCAGAACAGC